rnacentral:lncRNA from 1 species
ACCUAUCUUGCAUCAAGAUUGGAACUAUCUUCAAACAGACAAAAUCAAGGUUCCACAUGAGCCUCUUCACCAAGGAGUACCCUCGCAUGCGUCCAAAAUAGUUUCUUAGCCUAUGGUGCAUUUGGCACAAACCGUGUACCUAUCUUGCACCGAAACUAACACUAUCUCCAAAGAGACCGAAGUGAGAUUCUAUAUGACACACGUCAUCAAGGAGUUCUAUUGGGUGCUUCCAAAUAUAUUUCUAAGCAUAUGGUACGUUCGAUGCAAUUCGUGCACCUAUCUUGCAACAAGAUUAGCACUAUCUCCAAACAAAGAAAACUGAGCUUCCACUUGAGCCCCGUUACCCAGGAGUAUCAUCGGGUGCAUCCAAAAUGGUUUCUUAGCCUAUGAUGCAUUAGGCGCAAACUGUGUACCUAUCUUGCACCAAAGCUAACUCUGUCUCCAAAUAGACCAAAGCGAGAUUACAUAUGACACAUGUCAUCUAGGAGUUCUAUUGUGAUGCAUCCAAAUAGAUUUCUUAGCAUAUGGUAUGUUCCAUGAAAACCGUGAACCUAUCUUGCAUCAAGAUUAGCACUAUCUCCAAACAGAUCGAACCGACCUUCCACUUGAGCCUCUUCACCUAGGAGUAUUAUCGGAUGCUUCCAUAAUGGUUUCCGAGACUAUGGUGCAUUAUACGCAAGCCAUGCACCAAUCUUGCACCUAAACUGUCUCCAAACAGAUUGAAGCGAGAUUCCAUAUGACACACAUGAUCUAGGAGUUCUAUCGGGUGCGUCGAAAUUGAUUUCUGAGAAUACGGUACGUUCCAUGUAAACCGUACACCUAUCUUUCAUCAAGAUUAGCACUAUCUCCAAACAGACCGAACCGAGCUUUCACUUG